GGGACACGUGGUAUCCUGUCUGAAUAUGGGGGGACCAUCCUCCAAGGCUAAAUACUCCUGACUGACCGAUAGUGAACCAGUACCGUGAGGGAAAGGCGAAAAGAACCCCGGCGAGGGGAGUGAAAAAGAACCUGAAACCGUGUACGUACAAGCAGUGGGAGCCUCUUUUAUGGGGUGACUGCGUACCUUUUGUAUAAUGGGUCAGCGACUUAUAUUCUGUAGCAAGGUUAACCGAAUAGGGGAGCCGAAGGGAAACCGAGUCUUAACUGGGCGUUAAGUUGCAGGGUAUAGACCCGAAACCCGGUGAUCUAGCCAUGGGCAGGUUGAAGGUUGGGUAACACUAACUGGAGGACCGAACCGACUAAUGUUGAAAAAUUAGCGGAUGACUUGUGGCUGGGGGUGAAAGGCCAAUCAAACCGGGAGAUAGCUGGUUCUCCCCGAAAGCUAUUUAGGUAGCGCCUCGUGAAUUCAUCUCCGGGGGUAGAGCACUGUUUCGGCAAGGGGGUCAUCCCGACUUACCAACCCGAUGCAAACUG
rnacentral:rRNA from 1 species